rnacentral:misc_RNA from 1 species
AAGUCGUAACAAGGUUUCCGUAGGUGAACCUGCGGAAGGAUCAUUCAAUGAGUUUGAACCAGGACUUGAUGCUGACUUCAAAUUUUGAAGUACGUGCUCAGUUCUACUCAAUCCACUCAACACCUGUGCACUUUCAAAGCUGUAGUCCUCCGUCAUGGGAGUCGUAUUUUGUAAUGAAGUACUGGGACUGCUCUUUGCCCAUUUAUCACAAACACUUUAAAGUCUUGUAGAAUGUUAAUAGCCUAUGGGCUUAAGUUAAUACAACUUUCAACAACGGAUCUCUUGGCUCUC